rnacentral:lncRNA from 1 species
AUGAAUUCUGUGCUCUGCACACAGCCGGAGCUCGCUGUGCACGUGGACGUCGAGUUGGACCUGUUGGACCUGCUGCUUUUGGCAGGGGGAGGAGGUCCUGACUCUGUGACUUGCAGAUUCUCGUGCCCUGAGCUGGAAGCACAAUUCCCAGACGUGUCCCAGCCUUUGCAGCCCUCACCCUCCCGUCCCUGCAGUACCUUCCUGCUUGCACUUGAAGGCAACCUUGCACCGCACAUUUUCCACGCCAAGAGCCGGGCAGGAGAGCUCCGCACGCCUCCUGCUGCAGGUGGGAAGCGCAGGGCUGCGGGCACCGAGGAAGAAGAGCCCAGAGGCUCCUCGGAGGGUCACUUCGGCACCCCCAUGCUGCUGCCUCCUCCUGCAGCCCCCCGGGAUUUGGGCAGCCUUGCAGCCUGCAGGGGAGAUGCUCUGCACAUCCCCAGAUGAUGCCGAGCGCUCACCGCCUUCUUUCGCUCUUCUUUUUGCCAAAAUUACCAAUGGGGACCACAAUUAAUAGCAGCGACAGGGCUGGGAGCUUUGUCGUGAGUGGGGACAGAAGGAGCUGGGACUGUGUAGAUAAGAGUGAUAUUUCCUAACUGCUGUCCCCAAGGAAUUUUAUCCUGGGGUACUCGGAGAGCCGGUUAUCUUGGCCAUUAGUGAACUUGUGAGGGACAGGUGAGAUACCAGCAGACGGGCAAAGGGCAAAGGCAGCAUCUCCCUUCAAAAGCAGGGGACGGGAGGGAUCAGGCAAUUACAGACCUUCUGCCUAACUUCAGUUCCCAGAAAUAUAUUGGAAGAAUUAAGGGCCUGGAAAAAAAAAGGAGGAUGAGUAACAGCACCCAUGGACUGGUGUGUAGUGAGCAGCACCACACAGAAAUGUGUUUGAUACACGGAGAAGACAAGGAGACACAGUACAGAAAAAUGUAAGAGUCUAGGGUAUUAAGCACAUAUUUUACCCUCAUUUCUGCGAACAGACACGUCAAUAUUGUAUAUACAUCCACCUCUUGACACUACUUUGAAAAGAACAACCAGUAACAUUACUGUGCACUAACUGCAUGUAGAAAACCAGUCUUGAAAGCAGAGCAGUAUUUAACAUUUUCUUCUUCUCCUUCUGCUCAAAAUGACCAUCUGGCAACAGACUUUCUGGAAUGGAGCCUUUUCUCUACUUUCUGUUUGGCGACAAAUUUGUGCCAAUUUCCAGCAGUUCAUGUGCUUUAGGGAUGCGCAAUAUCGUUCUCUGCUGAAACAUACGUGGGCUUGAAGUUAAAUUCAGACACUGAGAAGAUCUGGUGUGAAACAAGUUGUGGGGUAUGGCACAGUUUUCUCUGUGUGUGUGCAAUAUGUGAAACAAGAAAAAUUUCCGUACCUUUCCACAAAGCCUCAGGCUAGCUGGCAAAUUCUGUGUAUUAUCCACUGUCACUUUACUCAUGACUUGCCCUAAACUAACCCCAUCAAACCUGCCUCAAGUUUUAUUUAAAACUUCCAGGAACUUUAAUCUGAAAGCGUAGGAUGCAAGAUCCUCCUCUGACGUAGCUGGCAUAGUCACAGUUAAUUAACUUAAAAAAAUAAAAAUAAAAUAAAAUAAAAUAAAAUAAAAUAA